rnacentral:lncRNA from 1 species
GGCAAUUUCCUGGUCACUUGGCCAUUACAUCAGGGUCGAAUGUUAGACAAGGCAUCUGUGGUGCUUUCCUAGAUAGAUGAUAUUCUGUUGAAGUCCGAUAUUCUCAAAGGCGCUAGUUACAGAGGGAUUCUCUGAAAAUGUCUGCGGUGGUGUUCAACGGUUGUGGAAUUUGCUGCUGACAGAGUAGUGUUCAUGUGAUCUUUGUUUCAAGCUGUGGGUGGCCUCUGAGGCCAUCAUACACUGCCCAUUUGGAGCAACAAUGUUUGAGGGAGAAAUUGCAUUUUUAAUGCGUUUAGUUUGGCUGAAGGGUGGGAACAUCAAAUAGCAGGAAAUUCCGUAUGAGGUCAGUGUAUUUGUUCAUAUCUGCAGAAACUGGAAGCAUUCAUAGCAAGUUCUUUGUCCUCAGCAGCUGAAAACAUGUUCUAUUCAAAUGUGCUUUAGAUGAACUGUAUUGAGUAGGCUGUCAGGCAGUAAUAUUGUCUCUAGCAGUGAGCAUAAGUAUUAAGCAUAAAAUAYGAAUCAGAUGAAGAACUCUGCUUUACAUCCCAUGUCCGGAUUUGUUCUUUUUACUGAAGCAGAAUAUUUGCACCAAUCCAUUAAAGCAUGGGUGAACCGUUCUCGUGCCAGUUCCGAUGGCUGUGUAUGUUUCUGCUCACUGAUAGUUACUCUUCAUUUUUGUUGUUUUACAUAGAGAAUGGAGUUGCUCUUCAUUUUCCUAGUGCAAAAGGGAAAAGUUUUAUUAAAAACCUGUUUCAGAUACUGAAAGACUGCGAAAGGUGGUCGAAGGUUACCGGAAGACUCGUGGCGAGGAAGUGCUGUACAGCAGUUCUUUAUUGUUGCGCAGCUGCUGCAAAGUUGCGGCUUCUUUUUAAGUAUCACUUUCAACCGGAACUAAAGCAGAGCAGCGUUAGCCAUCCCCGCAGUAGUCAAUGGCAGGCAGAGGCCAAAGUAUAGAGCUUAUACGAGUCUGUUAUCAGAGUGAUGUUCAAUGACUGCUCUGACUCAGGUCUUGCUGACGGAGGAAAAGGAAUUUGCACCAGACACAGAGCCCACAAAAUGCUGUACCUUCAAAACGGGAAGCAGGUGCCUCCAAGGCGCUUUUGGGUUCUGGGGCUCCCUUCUCAUCCUGAAGGGAAGAGACAUGUUCCAGAGCUGGCACCUAAGAAGGAAAGCGCAGACGAUUUGCUUUCCGAGCCUCGUGCCUCAACGCUGGAGCUGCGAGGUGGCCUCUGCUCCCUGGCGCUGCUGCUCCCAGCAUCCCCGCGCUGAGGAUGGUGCAGAUCUCCAGCCCAAGGAGGGGGCAAUAUGCCCUUUAUUUAAAGAGAAUGUUCUCCAAGAUGAGAGCUGCUUCGGCUGGUUUGUGACCGGGCGAUGAGCCACGCUGGCGUGCAGAUGAGAGCGCGGGAGAGCUGAUGGCAAGGGAAUAGAUGGUGGCUGGGACCUGGCUGUAGAUGGAGCCAUUUGCAUUUAGGAGGGAUGGCAAUAUUGCUAUAAAUCAAGCUAUUUACUUCAGAUAAACGGAUAGCUGAAUAGCUCAAAAUAAAGUAAAUAGCUCAAAAAUAAAUAAAAUUAAA